AUACCACCUGGCAGGAGAUACCAUGAUCUGUGAAGGUGCGUUCACCCAGGGCGAGGCUCAGCCAUUUACGCCGGUUGUGCUGACCGAUGCGAAUUCCCCAAAUGUGGGAAUCUAGAGCUGCAUAAUUUGUGGUAGUGGGGAAUCGUCCGCUCUCCCCU